AGGGGGGUGAAAUUGAAGUUUAUAUAUACAAAAGUUAUCUUAGAAAUGUUUUUAAACCUCCAGUUUCUGCAAAAUAAUUAAAAUAUACAGUAACUGGUCUUAAGAUCCUGAAUUUAAUGUAUCAAAUACUUAUAAAAUUUAUUUAUGUUUGUGCCUUUUUAAAAUGCAUUGAGUGUUGGCUAGCUGUUUAGUUCUACAACACUUGUAUUAUGCAUUUUUAAAAAUCACUUAAAAUUACUAUAUAAUUCAUCUUUGUGUUCUUAGGUCAAAACCAUUAGAGGAAUUUCCCAUACAGAGACUUUCAGCUCAUCUGCUUAAAGUAAAAGAAAGCUUUGAAACCAGAUGUUGCUAUCUUUUUAGUUUGAUAGUAUUUCUGAACACCAUUACAAGAUUAUGCGGGUAGUAUAUGAGGUGGAGGGAAAUUGUAGCUGUGAAUUGCAUUAUGGUAUGGUAUGUAUUUUU
rnacentral:lncRNA from 1 species